CCUACGGGUGGCAGCAGUGGGGAAUAUUGCGCAAUGGGCGAAAGCCUGACGCAGCGACGCCGCGUGAGGGAUGAAGGUCUUCGGAUCGUAAACCUCUGUCAGCAGGGAAGAACGGUCACUGUGCUAAUCAGCAGUGAAUUGACGGUACCUGCAAAGGAAGCACCGGCUAACUCCGUGCCAGCAGCCGAGGUAAUACGGAGGGUGCGAGCGUUAAUCGGAAUUACUGGGCGUAAAGCGCUCGUAGGCGGUAUGUCAAGUCAAGGGUGAAAUCCCCGCGCUCAACGUGGGAACUGCCUUUGAAACUGGCAAACUGGAGUGUGUGAGAGGAGAGUGGAAUUCCAGGUGUAGGAGUGAAAGCCGUAGAUAUCUGGAGGAACAUCAGUGGCGAAGGCGACUAUCUGGCACAUAACUGACGCUGAGGAGCGAAAGCGUGGGUAGCAAACAGGAUUAGAUACCCCGGUAGUC
rnacentral:rRNA from 1 species